ACAAGAGAAUAGUAAAGUGGGCGUUGAGCCAGUAACCAAACUCGCCCCUUCUCAUUUCUUUUAGGUCAUUUGGCUGAAAAGUUGAAGUUUUUUUCUGGUAAUGGCUGGAAUGCAACGUGAGGGAUUUGUAAGUCAAUAUUAUUUCACUAAAAUUUAUUUUAAAUCUUGCUUCCUCUCAUAUGCUCUAUAAAUUGACAAUAAUUCAACAA